rnacentral:lncRNA from 1 species
UAGGAUUUAAUUGAUAAUUAUAUGUGUUUGAUAUUAAUAUAUAUGUAUUAAUAUACUAUUUUAAAUUUAUUAAUAUUUAAGUUUUUAUUAUAAGUAUAUAAUAAAUAUUUGCAAAUAUCAAAUAAGUGAUAUUGAUAAAGUUAUAAAUAUGAAAUACUUAUCAAUCAUAUAUAUAAUCUGUAUUACUAAAGUAGAAGUUAUCCCAUAAAAUUGCAGCCACAGUUUGAGAGAAAUGAACUGUGUUUCUUUGCCAAAACUUGCCACGUGACAAGUCAAAUUCAUUUUAAAAGGUUUAUAUAAAUUUUAUAUUAUAUAUUUGUUUUGUCCUGUUAUAUGUUAAUGAGUUGUGUACAAGCCCAAAUAUGCCCGAGCCCAAACCAAUAAACAAGCCCAAACUAAAUACCCACCUAAGCCCAAACUAAACCCUAGCCCAACAAAACUAAGAAGCCCCAGGCAGCAAGCCGUCGCUACCAGCAACUCCAGUCACCGCACGACUAGGAGCCAGAGUCUCUUCCGCAAGAAUCGCGCCUUCACGAGCGUGCGCACUCCCCAACAGCCUCCAUACCUGCGAGAAAAACUGAAAAAUGUCAGUAUUCAUCGCAACAAUAACAAGAAAAUAGGGAUUCUUUUAGAUUUUUUUUUGAUAUUUUUUUUAUUUCGGUUAUAUAAACCAAUUGUAAAGAAAGAAAGGGGGGAAUUUUUCAGUGUAAAAAACAGACGAAAAUAGAGAGAAAGACUGAGAUUCCAAAUUUUUUUUUCGAAGGUGAAUUGUGUUUUUUUAUUUUUGAUUUUUCUUAUUUAUUUUUCAUUUAAAAUAAAAUGAAAGGGAGAAGAGCCUUACCUGGUCGCCGGAGUCGUCGAUCCGGCGUCUUCUCCGUCGAAAUCGGGGCAUGGAGGCUGAGCGGCGGCGCGAUGAUGGGUUAAGAAAACCCUAGCAGAGAGUGUUUUUCCCUUUUAUUUUUUGCUUUCUGCUGCAAAUAGGUUUUUAGCAAAAAAAUUGUUGUAAGACUAAAGAACAAAACGCGCCGUUUGGUGUGGGUUGGGGUCCGCGCGUUUUCACCCUAAAUGGGUAAUUUUCGCGAUUGCCCUUUGGUGUUUUUACAUUGUUCCAAA